rnacentral:rRNA from 1 species
UACAGAGGGUGCAAGCGUUAAUCGGAAUUACUGGGCGUAAAGGGUGCGUAGGUGGUUAAUUAAGUUGUAUGUGAAAUCCCUGGGCUUAACCUAGGAAUGGCAUAUGAUACUGAUUAUCUAGAGUACGGGAGAGGGAAGUGGAAUUUCCGGUGUAGCGGUGAAAUGCGUAGAUAUCGGAAGGAACACCAGUGGCGAAGGCGACUUCCUGGCCCGUUACUGACACUGAGGCACGAAAGCGUGGGGAGCGAACAGG